rnacentral:rRNA from 1 species
GAUGAACGCUGGCGGCGUGCCUAAUACAUGCAAGUCGAGCGAACGGACGAGAAGCUUGCUCCUCUGAUGUUAGCGGCGGACGGGUGAGUAACACGUGGAUAACCUACCUAUAAGUCUGGGAUAACUUCGGGAAACCGGAGCUAAUACCGGAUAAUAUUUUGAACCGCAUGGUUCAAAAGUGAAAGACGGUCUUGCUGUCACUUAUAGAUGGAUCCGCGCUGCAUUAGCUAGUUGGUAAGGUAACGGCUUACCAAGGCAACGAUGCAUAGCCGACCUGAGAGGGUGAUCGGCCACACUGGAACUGAGACACGGUCCAGACUCCUAAGGGAGGCAGCAGUAGGGAAUCUUCCGCAAUGGGCGGAAGCCUGACCGAGCAACGCCGCGUGGGUGAAGAAGGGCUUCGGAUUGUAAAACCCUGUUAUUAGGGAAGAACAUAUGUGGAAGUAAACGUGGACAUUUUGACGGUACCCAAACAAGAAGCCCCGGCUAACUUCGUG